rnacentral:rRNA from 1 species
CAGUAGCCGCGGUAAUACGAAGGGGGCUAGCGUUGCUCGGAAUGACUGGGCGUAAAGGGCGCGUAGGCGGCAUAUACAGUCAGGCGUGAAAUUCCUGGGCUUAACCUGGGGGCUGCGUUUGAAACGUAUAGGCUAGAGUGGGGAAGAGGGUUGUGGAAUUCCCAGUGUAGAGGUGAAAUUCGUAGAUAUUCGGAAGAACACCAGUGGCGAAGGCGGCUCACUGGACGACUGUUGACGCUGAGGUGCGAAAGCGUGGGGAGCAAACAGGAUUAGAUACCCCGGUAGUCCCUGUCUCUUAUAC